UGCCAUCUAACCUCGUUAAGUGA
rnacentral:siRNA from 1 species